UACGUAGGGUGCAAGCGUUUAAUCGGAAUACUGGGCGUAAAGCGUGCGCAGGCGGUGAUGUAAGACAGAUGUGAAAUCCCCGGGCUCAACCUGGGAACUGCAUUUGUGACUGCAUCGCUAGAGUACGGCAGAGGGGGGAUGGAAUUCCGCGUGUAGCAGUGAAAUGCGUAGAUAUGCGGAGGAACACCGAUGGCGAAGGCAAUCCCCCUGGGCCUGUACUGACGCUCAUGCACGAAAGCGUGGGGAGCAAACAGG
rnacentral:rRNA from 1 species